AGCAGCCGCGGUAAUUCCAGCUCCAAUAGCGUAUAUUAAAGUUGUUGCAGUUAAAAGCUCGUAGUUGAACUUCGGGGUUUACUCAUUGGUCAGGCUUAAUUGUCUGUACUGGUGAGAUGAAUCUCUACCUUCUGAGGAACUUUCAUGCCAUUUAUUUGGUGUGAUUGGAAAUCAGGACUGUUACUUUGAAAAAGUUAGAGUGUUUAAAGCAGGCUAACGUCUGAAUACAUUAGCAUGGAAUAAUGAAAUAGGACGGAUUGAUUCUAUUUCGUUGGUUUCUAGGGUCACCGUAAUGAUUAAUAGGGAUAGUUGGGGGCAUUAGUAUUCAAUUGUCAGAGGUGAAAUUCUUGGAUUUAUUGAAGACUAACUACNGCGAAAGCAUUUGCCAAGGAUGUUUUCNUUAAUCAAGAACGAAAGUUAGGGGAUCGAAGACGAUCAGAUACCGUCGUAGUCUUAACCAUAAACUAUGCCGACUAGGG
rnacentral:misc_RNA from 1 species